AUUAAACGCUGGCGGCAUGCCUUACACAUGCAAGUCGAACGGCAGCACGGGAGCUUGCUCCUGGUGGCGAGUGGCGAACGGGUGAGUAAUACAUCGGAACGUACCCUGAAGUGGGGGAUAACGUAGCGAAAGUUACGCUAAUACCGCAUAUUCUGUGAGCAGGAAAGCAGGGGAUCGCAAGACCUUGCGUUCUGGGAGCGGCCGAUGUCGGAUUAGCUAGUUGGUGGGGUAAAAGCCUACCAAGGCGACGAUCCGUAGCGGGUCUGAGAGGAUGAUCCGCCACACUGGGACUGAGACACGGCCCAGACUCCUACGGGAGGCAGCAGUGGGGAAUUUUGGACAAUGGGCGGAAGCCUGAUCCAGCCAUGCCGCGUGAGUGAAGAAGGCCU
rnacentral:rRNA from 1 species